rnacentral:rRNA from 1 species
UACGUAGGGGGCAAGCGUUGUCCGGAUUUAUUGGGCGUAAAGAGCGUGUAGGCGGCCAGAUAGGUCCGUUGUGAAAACUCGAGGCUCAACCUCGAGACGCCGAUGGAAACCAUUUGGCUAGAGUCCGGAAGAGGAGAGUGGAAUUCCUGGUGUAGCGGUGAAAUGCGCAGAUAUCAGGAAGAACACCCGUGGCUAAGGCGGCUCUCUAGUACGGUACUGACGCUGAGACGCGAAAGCGUGGGGAGCGAAGCAGG